CUCUUUCCAAUAUUACAACAGUAGGAAAAUAGAUUAGAUUGUCAAGUCACAUAUCAAAACUGAUCAUAUCAUAGCUCUUGUGGUAUCCCAAGUCGUGCAAGUACAGAACAGUCAGCCAUGAGUCGUGAGUUAAGUCGGGAGGCAGAAGCUCGAUUGAACGAAAAAAGAAAACAAAAAACUGAGACGAAGAUGCAGGUGGUGGUGUUGCCA
rnacentral:lncRNA from 1 species